rnacentral:rRNA from 1 species
UGCGUAGGCGGCCAGGUAAGUCAGCUGUGAAAACUAUGGGCUCAACCCAUAGCCUGCAGUUGAAACUAUUUGGCUUGAGUGAAGUAGAGGUAGGUGGAAUUCCCGGUGUAGCGGUGAAAUGCGUAGAGAUCGGGAGGAACACCAGUGGCGAAGGCGACCUACUGGGCUUUAACUGACGCUGAAGCACGAAAGCAUGGGUAGCAAACA